rnacentral:rRNA from 1 species
AACGUACGCUGGCGGCACGCCUAACACAUGCAAGUCGAACGAAGUAGCAAUACUUAGUGGCAGACGGGUGAGUAACAUGUAGGUAUCUACCCUUUGGCCUGGAAUAACACGAGGAAACUUGUGCUAAUACUGGAUAAGUCUUUACGGAGAAAGCUUUAUGCACCAUUGGAUGAGCCUGCACUUGAUUAGUUUGUUGGUGGGGUAAUGGCCUACCAAGACUGUGAUCAAUAGCUGAUUUGAGAGGAUGAUCAGCCACAUUGGGACUGAGACACGGCCCAAACUCCUACGGGAGGCAGCAGUGGGGAAUCUUGCACAAUGGAGGAAACUCUGAUGCAGCGAUGCCGUGUGAGUGAAGAAGGCCCUUGGGUUGUAAAGCUCUUUCGUCGGGGAAGAAAAUGACUGUACCCGAAUAAGAAGGUCCGGCUAACUUCGUGCCAGCAGCCGCGGUAAUACGAAGGGACCUAGCGUAGUUCGGAAUUACUGGGCUUAAAGAGUUCGUAGGUGGUUGAAAAAGUUGGUGGUGAAAUCCCAGAGCUUAACUCUGGAACUGCCAUCAAAACUUUUCAGCUAGAGUAUGAUAGAGGAAAGCAGAAUUUCUAGUGUAGAGGUGAAAUUCGUAGAUAUUAGAAAGAAUACCAAUUGCGAAGGCAGCUUUCUGGAUCAUUACUGACACUGAGGAACGAAAGCAUGGGUAGCGAAGAGGAUUAGAUACCCUCGUAGUCCAUGCCGUAAACGAUGUGUGUUAGACGUUGGAAAUUUAUUUUCAGUGUCGCAGCGAAAGCGAUAAACACACCGCCUGGGGAGUACGACCGCAAGGUUAAAACUCAAAUGAAUUGACGGGGACCCGCACAAGUAGUGGAGCAUGUGGUUUAAUUCGAAGAUACGCGCAGAACCUUACCAACACUUGACAUGUUCGUCGCGACUUUAAGAGAUUAAAGUUUUCGGUUCGGCCGGACGAAACACAGGUGCUGCAUGGCUGUCGUCAGCUCGUGUCGUGAGAUGUUGGGUUAAGUCCCGCAACGAGCGCAACCCUCACUUUUAGUUGCCAUCAUUAAGUUGGGCACUCUGAAAGAACUGCCAGUGAUAAGCUGGAGGAAGGUGGGGAUGACGUCAAGUCCUCAUGGCCCUUACGUGUUGGGCUACACACGUGCUACAAUGGUAUCUACAACAGGAAGCAAGACUGCGAAGUUAAGCAAAUCCCUAAAAGAUACCUCAGUUCGGAUUGCACUCUGCAACUCGAGUGCAUGAAGCUGGAAUUACUAGUAAUCGUGGAUCAGCGUGCCACGGUGAAUGCGUUCCCGGGUCUUGUACACACCGCCCGUCGCACCAUGGGAGUUGGUUCUACCUUAAGGCAAGGUUUCAAACCCUUGACCACGGUAUAGUCAGCGACUGGGGUG